UUAACAGAAUUCCAGGUAAAAAAUUUUAAGGAUAAAUCUCCCCUUGAAAUUUUGAAAAAUAAAAAUAUUAAUUUGCCUCAUUUGCAAGUAUUUGGAUGCAUUUUUUAUGUUCAUGUGGCUGGGAACAACCAGAAUAAACUUGAUAGACGUUCAAGUAGAUGUAUUAUUCUUGCAUACUCCUCUAUUUAAAAAGAAUACAAAUGUUAUGAUCCCACAACUAGAAAAAUGUAUAUUUCCGUGGAUAUUCAAUUUGUUGAAACGUAGACUUAUUUCCAUGACACAUUAGAAAGUAGUUUAGAAAAUAGGACUCAAGGGGAGUGUUCAAGAUGUCAUUUCCCUUGCCUAAUAUUGGUACCAGUGAUGUGUUUAACACACUUGGAACAAGUCAUGACGAUCAAGUCAAAGCUGAAGAUAUCCCUGAAACGCAUCAAACUGGUUUGGAAGAAGAAGACUUCGCCAUAGUCGUGGCCCUACCUGAUCCCCCCUUGUGCAGGUCUUCUCGUACCUCUCAACCUUCAUCUAGACUUUAAGAAAUUUAUACUUACCAUGCAGUUUCUUAUCAUGUUCAAAAUCAUAUUUCCUAUGAAAAUAUCUCUCCUGCCUAUUUUGUUUUUUUUAGUUCUAUUUUUAAUAAUUCUGAGCCAACCAAUUUUCAAAAUAUUAUUUCUCAACUUGUGUGGAGGAAGAUUAUGAAAGAGGAACUUCAAACACUUGACAAAAACCAUUUUUGAGACAUUGUCAGGCUACCUAUAGGGAAGAAAGCAAUUGGAUGUAGAUGGGUUUAUAAAAUCAAAUAUAAUAGUGAUGAGCUUGUUGAAAGGCAUAAAGUCAGGUGCCAAAUGAUUUACUCAAACUUAUGUAGUUGAUUAUAAAGAUACUUUUACAGCAGUUGUCCAGAUGAUAUUGCCCGUGUUAUUUUGUCUUCACACUUAAUUGUGGGCGGUCUCUACAUUAGGUGGAUGUUAAAAAUGCCUUUUGACAUGGUGACCUUGAAGAAAAAACCUAUAUAAGUCUUCCUCUAGGCCAUUCUAAAGAAAAUGAGAAAGACAUUGUAUGCAAAUUAAAGAAGACAUUGUAUGGACUUAAACAAUCACCUUGCGCAUGGUACGCCAAACUCAGCUCAGCUUUGAUAAGUAUCGGGUUUCUUAAAAGUUCAUAAAAUUCUUCGAUGUUUAUAACAAAGGGGACCUCAGGUACAACAGUUGUACUCAUUUAUAUUUAUGAUAUUAUCAUUACAAAUGAUAAUAAAGAAAGAAUCAUGCAACUUAAAAAUUAUCUUCACAAGAAAUUUGACAUCAAAGACCUUAGUCAACUAAAAUAUUUUUUUCGGCAUUGAAGUAGCACAUUCAAAAAAGGGAUUCUUCAUUCCUCUAAGGAAAUAUGUAUUAGUUAUGUUGAAAGAAACUGGAAAACUAGGAGUCAAACCCGUUGACACUUCUAUUGAUAUUAAUUGCAAACUUAAUUCAACAAAUGGAAAACCUCUUGAAGAUAUAGGCCCCUUUCAUAGACUUGUAGGCAGAUUGAUUUAUUUGAUUAUGACGAGACUAAAUCAUUAGUCUUGUGAGCCAAUUUAAGCAUGCUCCUAGAUCAUGUCAUAUAGAGGUUGUCGAUAGGAUUCUUAGAUAUCUUCAGUCGUCGCUCGGUAAAGGUAUUUGGUUGAAAUCGAAUGUUCACACUAAUAUUAUUGGUUAUUCUAAUGUUGACUGGGCAAGUAGUCCAAUUGACAGAAGGUCCACUACUGGCUAUUGUACAAUGGUCGGAAGAAUCUUAGUUACCUGAAAAAAAGAGAAACAAAAUGUAGUUGCUCAAUCUCUUGCAGAGGCCGAAUAUAGAGCUCUGGCUUCUUCUACAAGUGAAUUGAUAUGGCUAAAAUACUUAUUUCGAGAUAUGGGGUUUCCAACGGUCAAUCCAAUGACGAUGUUCUGUGAUAAUCAAGCAGACGUGUUUACCAAAGCUAUGACAAAAACAAAGUUCCAUCAGAUAUUGUUCAAGUUGGGCUCGAUUGAUAUCUACGGACCACCUUGAGGGGGAGUGUUGACAGUUAUAGGAACCAAAUAUUAAGUUUCCUAUCUUGUAUUUUAAAAGAUACUAAGUUUCUUAUAUUGAGUUUGCUAAGUUUCCUAUUUUGUGGGAUUACUAUUGUAAUGUGAUUUGUUUCCUAAAAGGCAAGAGUUGUAACUCUAUAAAUAUUUGGUAAACCAAGGUAAUCCCGAUUAAUGAGAUACUGGUUUAUCCUC